UACAGAGGGUGCAAGCGUUGUUCGGAAUUACUGGGCGUAAAGCGCGCGUAGGCGGACCUGCAAGUCGGGGGUGAAAGCCCGAGGCUCAACCUCGGAACUGCCUUCGAUACUGCGGGUCUCGAGUCCGGAGAGGGUGAGUGGAAUUCCGUAGUUGUAGAGGUGAAAUUCGAUAGAUAUUCGCAAGAACACCAGUGGCGAAGGCGGCUUACUGGUCCGGUUCUGGACGCUGAGGCGCGAAAGCGUGGGGAGCGAACGGG
rnacentral:rRNA from 1 species